GUAAAUAAUUAAGGGCGUAUGGUGGAUGCCUAGGCUCUCAGAGGCGAAGAAGGACGUGAUAAGCUGCGAAAAGCUCCGUUUAGGUGCAAAUAACCUUUGAUGCGGAGAUCUCCGAAUGGGAUAACCCAAUAUGUUGAAGACAUAUUAUACCGUAAGGUAGGCAAACGCAGGGAACUGAAACAUCUAAGUACCUGCAGGAGAAGAAAACAAAAGUGAUUCCCCCAGUAGCGGCGAGCGACCGGGGAAAAGCCCAAACCGUUAUUGUUUCGGCAUUAACGGGGUAGUAGGACUGCAAGCUUGAUGAAAUAAAUGAAAUGGAACACCUUGGAAAAUGUGAUCACAGAGGGUGAUAAUCCCGUACAUGCAAGUUUAUGAAUCAUAGCAGACUCCUGAGUAAGUCGGGACACGUGUAAUCCUGACCGAAUCCGCCGGGACCAUCCGGCAAGGCUAAAUACUCCUGAGAGACCGAUAGUGAACCAGUACCGUGAGGGAAAGGUGAAAAGCACUUCGAACAGAAGAGUGAAAUAGUCCCUGAACCCAUACGCCUACAAGCAGUCGGAGCCGCUUCGUGCGGUGACGGCGUGCCUUUUGCAUAAUGAGCCUACGAGUUACUCAUCACCAGCGAGGUUAAGUACUUCAGGUACGUAAGCCGAAGCGAAAGCGAGUCUGAAUAGGGCGUCAAGUUGGUGGUGGUAGACGCGAAACCUUAGUGAUCUACCCAUGGGCAGGGUGAAGGUUUGGUAACACAAACUGGAGGCCCGAACCGGUAAACGUUGAAAAGUUUUCGGAUGACCUGUGGGUAGGGGUGAAAGGCCAAUCAAACUGGGAAAUAGCUCGUACUCUCCGAAAUGCAUUUAGGUGCAGCCUCUGUUGUUUUGUUCUAGAGGUAGAGCUACUGAUUGGAUGCGAGGGCUUCACCGCCUAUCAAAUCCGGCCAAACUCCGAAUGCUAGAACAUGAAGACAGGGAGUGAGCCAGCGGGUGCUAAGGUCCGUUGACGAAAGAGGGAGAACUCAGACCAUCAGCUAAGGUCCCCAAUUGUAUGCUAAGUUGGAAUUAAAACGGGGUGGGACUGCUUAGACAGCUAGGAUGUUGGCUUGGAAGCAGCCAUUCAUUUAAAGAGUGCGUAACAGCUCACUAGUCGAGCGGUCCUGCAUGGAUAAUACGCGGGCAUAAGCAUAUAACCGAAGCUAUGGGAUUGUAGAUGAUACAAUCGGUAGGAGAGCAUUCCAUUCAGCAUAGAAGCAGUACCGUGAGGUAUUGUGGAGCGGAUGGAAAAGCAAAUGUAGGCAUAAGUAACGAUAAUGCGGGUGAGAACCCCGCACGCCGAAAGAUCAAGGAUUCCCCGGCAAUGUCAAUCAUCCGGGGGUAAGUCGGAUCCUAAGGGUAAGCCGAGUGGCGAUCCCGAUGGCAAACAGGUUAAUAUUCCUGUACUGAUCAUAACUGCGAUGCAGCGACGCAGAGGUGACACUGCUGCGUACUGACGGAAUAGUACGUUGAAACCCGUAUUCUUUGAUACCGGUAGUGAAGCACGCCGGUAGAGAUGAAAGGUGAUAGUACCGCAAUGCUUCGGUUGCGCGGAUAACGCAGGUAAGCUGACUGCCAAGAAAACCUGCUAAGCUUCAGGUAAUGAUCAUCCGUACUGUAAACGGACACACGUGAUCAGGUAGAAAAUACUAAGGCGCUCGAGAGAUUCAUGGUUAAGGAACUAGGCAAAAUGGUCCUGUAACUUCGGGAUAAAGGACGCUCUUGUGAAAGAGCCGCAGAUAAUAGGCCCAGGCGACUGUUUACCAAAAACACAUGGCUAUGCUAAUUCGCAAGAAGAUGUAUAUGGCCUGACACCUGCCCGGUGCCGGAAGGUUAAGAGGAGAGCUCAGAGGUAACUCGAAGGUUUGAAUUGAAGCCCCGGUAAACGGCGGCCGUAACUAUAACGGUCCUAAGGUAGCGAAAUUCCUUGUCGGGUAAGUUC
rnacentral:rRNA from 1 species